rfam:Pseudomonas syringae pv. pisi str. 1704B contig91.2, whole genome shotgun sequence.
ACCCCCGCUAGUGUUGCUCUACUGGGUUGCGAUCGAGCUUAGCCUCGUUCAUUUUUUUAUACAACAAGCCGUUAAGAAUAGAAGACAGGCCGCUCUAGCUCGUAUUUAACAACGGUCAAAAACGGAAUUAAACGCCCUAAAUAGCAGCAAAAAAGGUCAUUUGGCGCAGUUUUAGGGCAA